rnacentral:rRNA from 1 species
UACGUAGGGGGCUAGCGUUGUCCGGAAUCAUUGGGCGUAAAGCGCGUGUAGGCGGUCCGGUAAGUCCGCUGUGAAAGUCGGGGGCUCAACCCUCGAAUGCCGGUGGACACUGUCGGGCUAGAGUACGGAAGAGGCGAGUGGAAUUCCUGGUGUAGCGGUGAAAUGCGCAGGUAUCAGGAGGAACACCAAUUGCGAAGGCAGCUCGCUGGGACGUUACUGACGCUGAGACGCGAAAGCGUGGGGAGCAAACAGG